rnacentral:rRNA from 1 species
GACGAACGCUGGCGGCGUGCCUAAUACAUGCAAGUAGAACGCUGAAGGAGGAGCUUGCUUCUCCGGAUGAGUUGCGAACGGGUGAGUAACGCGUAGGUAACCUGCCUGGUAGCGGGGGAUAACUAUUGGAAACGAUAGCUAAUACCGCAUAAGAGUAGAUGUCGCAUGACAUUUGCUUAAAAGGUGCAACUGCACCACUACCAGAUGGACCUGCGUUGUAUUAGCUAGUUGGUGAGGUAACGGCUCACCAAGGCAACGAUACAUAGCCGACCUGAGAGGGUGAUCGGCCACACGGGGAAUGGAACAGGCACCAGACUCCUGAGGGAGGCACCAGUAGGGAAUCUUCGGCAAUGGACGGAAGUCUGCCCGAGCAACCCGGGGGGGGUGAAAAAGGUUUUGGGAUCGAAAAGCCGUUUUUUAAGAGAAAAACGGGUGUGGGGUGGGAAAGUUCACCCUGGGCCGGAAUUUAACCAAAAAGGGACGGUAAACCCCGG